CCAAUAGCGUAUAUUAAAGUUGCUGCAGUUAAAAAGCUCGUAGUUGAAUUUCGGGACCAUCAUGUCGGUCGUGCCUCGGUACGUACUGGCAUUGUUGGUUUCUACCUUCUGACGAACCAUGAUGUCAUUUAUUUGGUGUCGUGGGAAAUCAGGACUGUUACUUUGAAAAAAUUAGAGUGUUUAAAGCAGGCUCACGCUUGAAUACAUUAGCAUGGAAUAAUGAAAUAGGACGUUUGAUUCUAUUUUGUUGGUUUCUAGGAUCGACGUAAUGAUUAAUAGGGAUAGUUGGGGGCAGUAGUAUUCAAUUGUCAGAGGUGAAAUUCUUGGAUUUAUUGAAGACUAACUACUGCGAAAGCAUUUGCCAAGGAUGUUUUCAUUAAUCAAGAACGAAAGUUAGGGGAUCGAAGACGAUCAGAUACCGUCGUAGUCUUAACCAUAAACUAUGCCGACUAGGGAUCGGAUGAUGUUAAUUUUUUAAUGACUCAUUCGGCGCCUUACG
rnacentral:rRNA from 1 species